CUCUUCCUCCCUCCCUUCCCCUCUGUCUAAAAAAAUAAAAUAAAAUAUUAAAAAAAAAUUAAAAGAUAACAUUAAAAACCCUUAUUAUUAAGAAAGAAUAGGGAACUUAGCACUCAACUUCAAUGACUUUGAGUUUUAGUUUUCAUUUUGGUAUGGGAAGUCAACAGUGAAGCUUACAGUCCCAUCCAGGGUAGAGCGUGUUAUCAGAAGUCAUUCUUGCUGGGAGCUCAGAUGGUUAAUUUUUAGUUUAAGAACAAAUGUGCAAGUAUGUAGAUUAUCAGUUGAAAUCAUUUGUCUUUUGUGUUGUGAAGAAUUUCAGGCAGAUAAUUUAAAAUUGUCUUGGGUUGGUAGCAGUUCCUGGCAACUGAUAUAAGCAAAUGCACCUUCUCUCUGGAGGAGCACAACAUCAAACCAGGCCUCAACGGAUUGCUGUAGGUAAAAUUCCAAGAAACCCAUAGUAAAAAA